UUGGAGGGCAAGUCUGGUGCCAGCAGCCGCGGUAAUUCCAGCUCCAAUAGCGUAUAUUAAAGUUGUUGCAGUUAAAAAGCUCGUAGUUGAAUUUUAGGCCUGGCCGGGCGGUCCGUCUUUGGCGAGUACUGUCUUGUUGUCGGGUCUUCCUUCUGGUGAACCAGUAUGUCCUUUAUUGGGUGUGUUGGGGAGCCAGGACCAUUACCUUGAAAAAAUUAGAGUGUUUAAAGCGGGCUAUUGCUUGAAUAGAUUAGCAUGGAAUAAUAGAAUAGGACGUUGUGGUUCUAUUUUGUUGGUUUCUAGGACCACCGUAAUGAUUAAUAGGGAUAGUUGGGGGCAUUAGUAUUCAAUUGUCAGAGGUGAAAUUCUUGGAUUUAUUGAAGACUAACUAUUGCGAAAGCAUUUGCCAAGGAUGUUUUCAUUAAUCAAGAACGAAAGUUAGGGGAUCGAAGACGAUCAGAUACCGUCGUAGUCUUAACCAUAAACUAUGCCGACUAGGAAUCGGGCGUCGUUAUUUUUACGACUCGCUCGGCGCCUUACGGGAAAC
rnacentral:rRNA from 1 species